AGUGAACGCUGGCGGUAGGCCUAACACAUGCAAGUCGAACGGCAGCACAGUAAGAGCUUGCUCUUACGGGUGGCGAGUGGCGGACGGGUGAGGAAUACAUCGGAAUCUACUUUUUCGUGGGUGAUAACGUAGGGAAACUUACGCUAAUACCGCAUACGACCUACGGGUGAAAGCAGUGGAUCUUCGGACCUUGCGCGAUUGAAUGAGCCGAUGUCGGAUUAGCUAGUUGGCGGGGUAAAGGCCCACCAAGGCGACGAUCCGUAGCUGGUCUGAGAGGAUGAUCAGCCACACUGGAACUGAGACACGGUCCAGACUCCUACGGGAGGCAGCAGUGGGGAAUAUUGGACAAUGGGCGCAAGCCUGAUCCAGCCAUACCGCGUGGGUGAAGAAGGCCUUCGGGUUGUAAAGCCCUUUUGUUGGGGAAGAAAAGCAGCAGGUUAAUACCCCGCUGUUCUGACGGUACCCAAAGAAUAAGCCCCGGCUAACUUCGUG
rnacentral:rRNA from 1 species